rnacentral:rRNA from 1 species
GAGUUUGAUCAUGGCUCAGAACGAACGCUGGCGGCAGGCCUAACACAUGCAAGUCGAGCGCGUGUAGCAAUACACGAGCGGCGAACGGGUGAGUAACACGUGGGCAACCUGCCCUCAGCUCUGGGAUAACUCCAAGAAAUUGGGGCUAAUACCGGAUACGACCGCUGACCGCAUGGUCUGGUGGUGGAAAGAUUUAUCGGCUGGGGAUGGGCCCGCGGCCUAUCAGCUUGUUGGUGGGGUAGUGGCCUACCAAGGCGACGACGGGUAGCCGGCCUGAGAGGGUGACCGGCCACACCGGGACUGAGACACGGCCCAGACUCCUACGGGAGGCAGCAGUGGGGAAUAUUGCGCAAUGGGCGGAAGCCUGACGCAGCGACGCCGCGUGGGGGAUGACGGCC